UACAGUUACAUAACAACCUGGAAUAAUUAGUUACAGCUACAUAACAACCUGGUUUAAUUAGUUACAGUUACAUAACAACCUGGUGUAAUUAGUUACAGUUACAUAACAACCUGGUGUAAUUAGUUACAGUUACAUAACAACCUGGUAUAAUUAGUUACAGUUACAUAACAACCUGGUAUAAUUAGUUACAGCUACAUAACAACCUGGUAUAAUUAGUUACAGUUACAUAACAACCUGGUGUAAUUAGUUACAGUUACAUAACAACCUGGUAUAAUUAGUUACAGCUACAUAACAACCUGGUUUAAUUAGUUACAGUUACAUAACAACCAGGUAUAAUUAGUUACAGUUACAUAACAACCUGGUAUAAUUAGUUACAGUUACAUAACAACGUGGUGUAAUUAGUUACAGCUACAUAACAACCUGGUGUAAUUAGUUACAGUUACGUGAUAGGUAGUGUAGCCUACAUCACUGGUUUAUGGUAAUUGUGUCAUUGAUAAAGUUCACUCCAAAAUGUAUUUAUUUAUCUCUUACUGCUGUUCUUGUGAAUGUAAGUAAGACGUUUGAAGUGUCUUCUGAAAUUAUUCCUAUAGAGGGAAUGUUCUAGUGAAAGAUAAAAUAAGUUCCUGCAAUAAUUGCUAAUAAAUUUGUUCAUGGAAAACUUUUACAGAGAACAUCAUCAUUAUAUAUAAUAAUGUAUAGUUUCUAUAUCUCUAGAAUUUCUUGUGACUGUAUUUUUAGAGACUAAGCCUUACAACUUAAUUAGAUACAUUUUUUUUAGGCCAUGCAUAUCUUUGCAGUUAGCGGGCCUAGACUUUGAUUCUGAGAAUUCAUGGUUUGUGACCCAUUGCUGCCAAAACACUUCACACUUUGGAGCCAUGGGUUGCUAUAAGAGUGGCAGUCAAAUCCCACUAUUCAAUCUAACAAAGGUAGUCCAAGAGUUGAAGGUGGGAUGGCUGUGUAUAAUUAAUCCUUCUGUUGCUUUACCCAAAAAAAUAAAGAAUCAGUGGAAGUCUCAAAUGGCUACCAUUUCGUUUAUCAAAUGAGUCAGAUAUUUGCUGUAGGUUUUUCAGUAUUAAAUACCAUAGAAGAAAGGAUUGUAGUUAUAUUAGUGUUAAAGUAUUUACAUGUUUUAAUUUUACCCUAGGAUUCAUGUCCUAUUUGCUCUGUUCAGAAGAGGAGACCUGGUUCGUCUAGUGACGGUAGAACAUAAAGGAAAGCCAUUCCAAAUUACCUAUAUCAUGAGUGGGGGCAAAGAAAAAAGUUUUCUGAACACUCCUGGUUGCAGUUAACCCUAAAUUUACUUUCAUGAUUUUGCAGAUUUGCAGAAUCCUUUUUAGUUCACCAUAUAGUAAUCUAAGUUAAUUUAGAAAAUAAUAUUAUGACAUUGCAUCUAAUGUAUUAUUCAAUAUUAUACAGUGGACCAACCGUUUAAUGGUUAAAUUAUGUAGUUCUCUUCACCGAUGAUAAAAUUGAAAAAAUAAUUUAACAUAAAGGCCUACUGUAUUCUUCGAUUAGCCAAACCCUCUACUGCAGACUGUAGUUUCACUUAUUGAAGGCUAAUCAGUAAAGCUUUGGUCAGUAAUGUAAACCAAAAAAAUGCAGUUAGGCCUUUUAUAAUGAUGAUGUUAUAUAAUAUUUAUGCAAUGCAAUGACUUUAUUCACACACUUAAAUAGAUUUUAAGUUAUUAUAAGAUGAGUUAAAAAGGACUCAAAAAUAUGAAUGUGAAAUAGUUUUCUGUUGAUUAUUUUGUUACAACUUACUAUUAUAACACGAAAAAAGAAUAUAAAUAGCAUACUGGGUGACCCAAAAGUCCAUUGACAAGGAAAUAAUUUGGAAAUGAAGAUGACCUCAAUGAUCCUGUCAGCAGGUAAUCCCAGAAUGCUUUAUUCCAUUGCAGAAAUAAUUAUUUUUCUAAACCUCUCCAUUUCUGAAUAAUUUUCCUGCAAGUGGAUGCUGAAUCUCCUUGUAUAUAGUUACAUAAAGAACAAGAAGAUACAGGAGUUAAACUCAUUGGCAGAAACUUGACUCUUAGAAAGUAUAAAAUAAUAUAUUAUAAUAAUAAUAAUACGACAUUUUGUUAAGGCUCUUUUGUUAGAGUAUCUUACAAAACAAUAACUAUGUUAUUACAUUAUGUAUUCAAUCAGUGACGUGUAAUAUCUUGUUUUGUUCAAUCUUAUAAACAUGUUUCUUCAGUUCAAUUCUACAAUUUGUUAAAAGUAAUUUAUUUGCAUCAGAACAUUUGAAACAGAAUAUAGAUUUUAUAAAUAUCGUGUUUUGAGUCAUCUUUGGCUCACCAUAAUGAUCCUACAUUUAUAUAAGAUUUUGAAGAAUAGGUAAAAUUGAUACUAUUUACAUAUUCUUUGGAAUUAGUUAGUUGACAAGCUGUUUUAAAUAAUAAAAUAGAUAUGCAGGCUAGUCUGUCACUUGAUCACCAUUUAUCACUUGUACUAGUUUUGGGGAAAUCGAACAAUAGAUUUGGCAUCAUAUUUAUUUGUAUUUUUUUGAAAAUAUGACUUUGUAAUUACAAUAUAUUAAUGUUAAACUUUGUAGUAAUUGUCUUUCAUUUGAUCUUACAUUUUCUGAAAAUAAUCAAAUAUUGGAGAAAUUAUAGCUUUUGUUUUGAACGAAUCUUGAUACUGUAUCAAAAAAAGACACUUUGUUUUUUGCUGGCUAAGUAAUCCUUGCAUUUCUUCAUUGAAUUCAACAAAUUAACUGAAGUUUAAUGAUAACAUUAGGUUAAAAACUUCUAGUUACACUGAAAUAUGACCAUUUGUAACCUUUCAAUUUUAAUGCUAGAAUUAAACUUACUUCAUUAUGGUGAACAUGUUAAUUUGAUUGAGAGAAAAUCUGAAAAGCUAUUUGCACUAUAACUAUUAUAUGAAUAAAAUAUUUUAUUAAAAUGUC